rnacentral:rRNA from 1 species
AAUGGUAGCUCUGUAGCAAUACAGAGUUGCCGGAAGUGGCGAAAGGGGCAGUAAUGUAUGGGUAACCUACCCGGGGGUCGUGAAUAGCCGUCCUAACGGACGGGUAAUGCACGGCGAUUCGACGAGAGGACAUCCUUUUGUCGGGAAAGAAUUUCGCCUCCGGAGGGGCUCAUAUCGUAUUAGCUAGUUGGUGAGGUAACGGCUCACCAAGGCUAAGAUGCGUAGCGGGUGUGAGAGCACGACCCGCGCCACUGGCACUGAGACACUGGCCAGACACCUACGGGUGGCUGCAGUCGAGGAUCUUCGGCAAUGGGCGCAAGCCUGACCGAGCGACGCCGCGUGGACGAUGAAGGCCUUCGGGUUGUAAAGUCCUGUCGAGGGGGAUCAAGGGCAACUUGAGUGAUCCCUGGAGGAAGAACGGGCUAAGUUCGUGCCAGCAGCCGCGGUAAGACGAACCGUGCAAACGUUAUUCGGAAUCACUGGGCAUAAAGGGCGCGUAGGCGGCUUUCUAAGUCAGGGGUGAAAUCCGGCAGCUCAACUGUCGCAGUGCCUUUGAUACUGGAGAGCUCGAGGGAGGUAGGGGUCUGUGGAACUUCCGGUGGAGCGGUGAAAUGCGUUGAUAUCGGAAGGAACGCCGGUGGCGGAAGCGACGGACUGGAUCUCUUCUGGCGCUGAGGCGCGAAAGCCAGGGGAGCAAACGGGAUUAGAUACCCCGGUAGUCCUGGCCCUAAACGAUGGGUACUAGAUUGCGGACUUACAUGGGUUCGCAGUCGAAGCUAAUGUUUUAAGUACCCCGCCUGGGGAGUAUGGUCGCAAGGCUGAAACUC